UCCCUCUUAGCUCAGUUGGUAGAGCGCGUCACUAGUAUAGGGCAGAGAUCUAUUUCCUCAUGACGAGGUCAGUCGUUCAAAUCGGCUAGCGGGAA